GAUUGCUCGAUGUAUUUGACAAUUUUGAUCUACUGAAUCCAAUAACUAUUUUGUCCUCAACUUGGAACUUGAAUGAUUCAUUUCAGGUGUUCCUGGAGCAUUUGCUGGAGUCAAGUGGCUUGCUACGAUUCUAGGAACCAUGCGAACCCCACCAUCAUUUCGAGCCACUUCCCACCAUAACAUGUACUUCCUAUCUUAUAAUUGCAAGACCAUAAUGAGUCCUUGACAUGCAUGGUGGACUUGGUUAUCAACCUGACCCAACUCACACUCUCUCUCCUGAACUGGUGAUUCUGUUCUCUCCAUCUUUGUUCAACUUGGUACAGUUCUCAUAUGCAUUGAGGUGGUCAUUAACUCCGGAUCUAGAAUCGACCCAAAGCGAUAUAUCAGAAUCAUUCAAAACUGUCUAUGGCAAAACAGCGAUGAUAAUGUGUUUGCUGCUUGACGACCACAGCAGUCAAUGUCGUCAAAAGCUUCAAAAGAGAUGCCAAUUUAUUGCCACUGUCUAUUAAUAAAAGAUUAGAUUGCUUCACGCCAGUAAUCACGUUGAAUGUGGUCGAAAAAAUGAUGUGUUAUCCUUUGUUCAUUUGCCGCCACCUAAAGAUCAUCAGCAGAGAAGUCAGUUCGUCUCAGCACAAACUCAAUCUUUGAU